rnacentral:rRNA from 1 species
AAUAGAUACCCAGGUAGUCCACGCCGUAAACGAUGAGUGCUAAGUGUUGGGGGGUUUCCGCCCCUCAGUGCUGCAGCUAACGCAUUAAGCACUCCGCCUGGGGAGUACGGUCGCAAGACUGAAACUCAAAGGAAUUGACGGGGGCCCGCACAAGCGGUGGAGCAUGUGGUUUAAUUCGAAGCAACGCGAAGAACCUUACCAGGUCUUGACAUCCCGGUGACCACUAUGGAGACAUAGUUUCCCCUUCGGGGGCAACGGUGACAGGUGGUGCAUGGUUGUCGUCAGCUCGUGUCGUGAGAUGUUGGGUUAAGUCCCGCAACGAGCGCAACCCUUAUUCUUAGUUGCCAUCAUUCAGUUGGGCACUCUAAGGAGACUGCCGGUGAUAAACCGGAGGAAGGUGGGGAUGACGUCAAAUCAUCAUGCCCCUUAUGACCUGGGCUACACACGUGCUACAAUGGACGGUACAAACGGUUGCCAACCCGCGAGGGGAGCUAAUCCGAUAAAACCGUUCUCAGUUCGGAUUGUAGGCUGCAACUCGCCUAC